UUUUAGCCACAUUCUCGUACUACAGACAGUCGUAGCUUAUAAAUCUCACCGUGUGUCUGUUCUUGUUGAAAAUACAAUUUUGACCCGGAUUUUGACAUCUUGAUUUAGGCCCAGAUCUAAUACAACUAUAAAAGUUGUGAAGUGAGAAGUUAUUGUGCUUAUUUGCUGUUAUUCGCAACAAUAUUAACUCUGAUUUGAAAAUGUUGACAGAUAAAAACGGAAACAUAUUGGUUAACUCCCCUUGAAAACUGAGAAUUUUCAAUUGCUGAGUCACUAUCAGUUUUCUGUACCAAUAUUCCACAGUUUUGCUCACAACCUAGACUGUCAGUUGAAAUAUGGUCAGAGAUAUGUGACUGGCACUGGAAUGACAGAUGGAGAAGGCAUUGAACGUCUAUGGAGCUACCUACGAAGAUUCAAAAUAAUAACC